CACCUUGCUAUUAUUAUCUGCUGAUAUGGGAAAAAAAGAAGUCAUUUAGACUCAGGACUAGUCAUCAGUAAAUGACUAUCACUGAAAAGUGAAUGGCAUGAUGGUGGAUUCUAUUGCUGAGGAUCAUAAAAUGGAGUUUCACAGCCAGUGUUGGCUGUGGCUACACUAAGUACUGCUCUCAGGGGAAUGGCUGUAUUUGCAAGAUGCAGACUAUAAAUUUGGAGGAUCAUUUCUGGUUCAAGUACAAAACCAUGACCGAGAGACAGUUCUGUUGGCCCGGGAGGAAAUGGGGAGAGACAUUUCAGAGAAAUGGGUCCGGCUGGCUCCUGCUAAAUAUCACAAAGCAAUUAUAUCACAGAAUACAAGGACAUUCUUCAGCCGUUGUCCAGGUGCUCUGA
rnacentral:lncRNA from 1 species